rnacentral:rRNA from 1 species
UACGUAGGAGGCAAGCGUUGUCCGGAAUCACUGGGCGUAAAGCGCGUGUAGGCGGAUCGCUAAGUCUGUGGUGAAAGCGCCUGGCUUAACCGGGCGAGGUCCGUGGAAACUAGCGGUCUGGAGGCCGGUAGAGGGGGGUGGAAUUCCGGGUGUAGUGGUGAAAUGCGUAGAGAUCCGGAGGAACACCAGUGGCGAAGGCGGCCCCCUGGGCCGCGCCUGACGCUGAGACGCGAAAGCGCGGGGAGCGAACGGG